CAGUCGAGGGGUAGAGGCUUUCGGGCCUUGAGACCGGCGCACGGGUGCGUAACGCGUAUGCAAUCUGCCUUGUACUGGGGGAUAGCCCAGAGAAAUUUGGAUUAAUACCCCAUAGUAUUUUCGGUUGGCAUCAACUGAUUAUUAAAGUUUUUCGGUACAAGAUGAGCAUGCGUCCCAUUAGCUAGUUGGUAUGGUAACGGCAUACCAAGGCUACGAUGGGUAGGGGUCCUGAGAGGGAGAUCCCCCACACUGGUACUGAGACACGGACCAGACUCCUACGGGAGGCAGCAGUGAGGAAUAUUGGUCAAUGGUCGCAAGACUGAACCAGCCAUGCCGCGUGCAGGAUGAAGCAUCUAUGGUGUGUAAACUGCUUUUGUACGGGAAGAAACACUCCUACGUGUAGGAGCUUGACGGUACCGUAAGAAUAAGGAUCGGCUAACUCCGUGCCAGCAGCCGCGGUAAUACGGAGGAUCCAAGCGUUAUCCGGAAUCAUUGGGUUUAAAGGGUCCGUAGGCGGCUUUAUAAGUCAGUGGUGAAAUCCGGCAGCUUAACUGUCGAAUUGCCAUUGAUACUGUAGGGCUUGAAUUGUUGUGAAGUAACUAGAAUAUGUAGUGUAGCGGUGAAAUGCUUAGAUAUUACAUGGAAUACCAAUUGCGAAGGCAGGUUACUAACAAUACAUUGACGCUGAUGGACGAAAGCGUGGGUAGCGAACAGGAUUAGAUACCCUGGUAGUCCACGCUGUAAACGAUGGAUACUAGCUGUUUGGUUGUAAGACUGAGUGGCUAAGCGAAAGUGAUAAGUAUCCCACCUGGGGAGUACGAACGCAAGUUUGAAACUCAAAGGAAUUGACGGGGG
rnacentral:rRNA from 1 species